UGAGACAUCUGGGAUGCAUUGGACCCGUGAGAGAGAAGAGAGGGGGGCAGCUGGAACCUAUCAGAGCCCAGGAGAUCAGCAGAUCUGUUUUGUGUGUAUGGGAUCUGACCUGUCCUGAGCCUCAAACUCAUCACUGUCCCGCAGAGGAAUGAUGACAAGCAUUUUGCUAUGAAACUCCAAACACACCUGCCUCAAGGCCCCUGGCACCUGCAUUGGCUGAGACAUCAGACUGACACCAAAUGUCAAAGUGGAUGGGGUCACUGGCUCCUGCAGUUGCCAUGGUGUAACAGUGACUGCCUGCAUCAGCACAGCUCUCUGCCAUCACUUUUUGAGAUCCGAGGAUAAUCUGAUCCAUCAAGUCGGGGUCACUGAAAUGACGAAAUAAUGAUCCAGUAUUCCUGCCUCUACAUGGCCUCCUGCCAGGUGGAAUUCCUAAUUACCCAAGCUGAUAUUCCCAAGAACUCAAUGCAAUAAGAUAGAGCUUCAGCAUCUAUGUGCGAGAGGGAAGAAGGCUCAGUAGAUGGAGAGGCUGCAGAGUUGUAGUCACUAGAGUAGUAUAAUAGAGGUCUUACAGAAUGCACACACACACACAGUAAAUCUGGUGUCACAACGGAGGGUGAGAGCACAUUGGCAAUGUUAUAUAAAAAUUAUGGGCCAAACAUCUGGUUAGCCUCUGUAUUAAGGUGAGGGUGUGUUUCAUUGUUGUUCUGCGUUUCAGGGCAACAGUGACGUAAAUUCAGAUAUAUGGGCAACAAAUAACACUUACUGAGGCCUUUAUCCUGGGUUAAGUGCCAGUUCAUCAUUGGUUAAUGAUGACAGAAAUGGCUGACAUCUGUGUGAUGAAAGGAUCAGUUGCAGACCUGUGUUCUUAAAAGGGUGUGAGGGCAAUUCGAAUGUGGAGUUACUCCUUGUGAGACCCUUAUUAUGGCAGCCUGUAUUUCACAAUGGGGCUCCGUCUAAGA
rnacentral:lncRNA from 1 species